rnacentral:rRNA from 1 species
UACGGGGGGAGCAAGCGUUGUUCGGAUUUACUGGGCGUAAAGGGCGCGUAGGCGGCCACCGCAAGUCGACUGUGAAAUCUUCGGGCUUAACCCGGAAAGGUCAGCCGAUACUGCGGGGCUAGAGUGCAGAAGGGGCAACUGGAAUUCUCGGUGUAGCGGUGAAAUGCGUACGAUAUCAGGAGGAACACCAGUGGCGAAGGCGGCUCGUGGG